UACCUUUUGAUCAGAAGGGUUUCCCUCCAAUCAACAAGGUACAUCCUUGUUGACUGGAAGGAAGCCCUUCUGGUCAACAAGGCA
rnacentral:miRNA from 1 species